AUGGGCAGGGAUCGGACGUUAUACUGUAUGGGGCUUAUACUGGUGGGACUCAUGACCUGUAUAUUCCCCUUGGGUCUAGUAAACCCCAUCUAUGUGCACUGUAUUCAGGGGUGGCCGGGUGCUGUACACUGUAUAUGGGGAGG